rnacentral:rRNA from 1 species
UACGAAGGGGGCUAGCGUUGCUCGGAAUCACUGGGCGUAAAGGGUGCGUAGGCGGGUCCUUAAGUCAGGGGUGAAAUCCCGGAGCUCAACUCCGGAACUGCCUUUGAUACUGGGGAUCUUGAGUCCGGAAGAGGUGAGUGGAACUCCGAGUGUAGAGGUGAAAUUCGUAGAUAUUCGGAAGAACACCAGUGGCGAAGGCGGCUCACUGGUCCGGUACUGACGCUGAGGUGCGAAAGCGUGGGGAGCAAACAGG